AUUGAACGCUGGCGGCAGGCUUAACACAUGCAAGUCGAGCGGAGAUGAGGUGCUUGCACCUUAUCUUAGCGGCGGACGGGUGAGUAAUGCUUAGGAAUCUGCCUAUUAGUGGGGGACAACAUUCCGAAAGGAAUGCUAAUACCGCAUACGUCCUACGGGAGAAAGCAGGGGAUCUUCGGACCUUGCGCUAAUAGAUGAGCCUAAGUCGGAUUAGCUAGUUGGUGGGGUAAAGGCCUACCAAGGCGACGAUCUGUAGCGGGUCUGAGAGGAUGGUCCGCCACACUGGGACUGAGACACGGCCCAGACUCCUACGGGAGGCAGCAGUGGGGAAUAUUGGACAAUGGGGGGAACCCUGAUCCAGCCAUGCCGCGUGUGUGAAGAAGGCCUUAUGGAUGUAAAGCACUUUAAGCGAGGAGGAGGCUACUGAGACUAAUACUCUUGGAUAGUGGACGUUACUCGCAGAAUAAGCACCGGCUAACUCUGUGCCAGCAGCCGCCGUAACAC
rnacentral:rRNA from 1 species